UACGUAGGUGGCAAGCGUUGUCCGGAAUUAUUGGGGCGUAAAGCGCGCGCAGGCGGCCUUUUACGUCUGAUGUGAAAUCUUGCGGCUCAACCGCAAGCGGUCAUUGGAAACUGGAGGGCUUGAGUACAGAAGAGGAGAGUGGAAUUCCACGUGUAGCGGUGAAAUGCGUAGAUAUGUGGAGGAACACCAGUGGCGAAGGCGACUCUCUGGUCUGUAACUGACGCUGAGGCGCGAAAGCGUGGGGAGCAAACAGG
rnacentral:rRNA from 1 species